CAGGAGUUGUGCAGAGCCACAAGGUCUCUCCCGAGCCUCCUUUUCUCCAGGCUAAACACCCCCAGCUCCCUCAGCCCCUCCUGGUGCUCCACACCCGUUCCCUUCUCUGGACACACUCCAGCCCCUCAAUGUGUUUCUAUUCCUGAGGUACCCAGAACUGCCCCAGGAUCUGAGGUGUGGCCCCAGCAGUGCCAGCCCAGGGCACAGUCACUGUCCUGGCCCUGCUGCCACACCAUGGCUGGCACAGCUCAGGUGCCAUUGGCCUCCUGCCCCCUGGACACCCCUGGGCUCCUGCCCAGUGCUGUCCCCAGCACCCCCAGGGCCUUUCCCAGCUUUCCAGCCCCUCUGCCCCAGCCUGGAGCUGCAGGGGGUUGGUGUGUCCCAAGGCAGGAGCGGGCCCUUGGCCUUGUGGAAUCUCAGACCACUGGCCUGGGCCCAUGGAUCCAGCCUGUCCAGAUCCCUCUGCAGAGCUUCCUGCUCUCCAGCAGAUCCACACUCCCACCCAGCUGGGUGUCAUCUGAGAAAUGACUGAGGGUGCACUCAAUCCCCUUGUCCAGGUUGUCAUUUAAAGAGAACUGGCCCCAACACUGAGCCCUGAGAACACCUCUGGAUGUACUGACCACCACCUGGAUAUAGCUCCAUUCAGCACCACUCCCUGGGCCUGGCCAUCCAGCUAGGUUUGACACAGUGAAGAGUGGAUUUUAACUUGUGGAUACUAACCUGCAUGUUUAGAGGACAGGGAAGGUGCAAGGCUGGGAGAAGUGCUAGCUGCCUUAGAGAGCUGCUCUGCCAGUAGGUUGAGAUUCCACUGCUCCCUUUUCUAAGUACAAUGCAUGAUCAUAGCAAUCUUUUCUGGCUUUAAAGUUGAUGGCAGAUGUACUCCCCAGAUAAUGAGUCUUAUAAAAAAACUGUAUGAAAUCUCCUGUUGAAUUCAAUAGCAGAGGUGCUGUUCCAAUUUAAAGGUUACAGGAUGACACAAAAAAAAAGAGCUAAAGAAAUGUUCUCCUUUUCCACUCAGCCUCUGGAACCUGGGUUAUUACAGAGCUGACUUUGCCAAUACUAAAUCAGAUGCUUUUGGAUGACUGAAAGCUCUCUGUGGACAAGGAAAUGCAGGACUGUUCCCCAUGUGUGAAGUGCACAGAACUGCAGAGGGCCAAGAGCUGUUCCAGCAUGAUUUGUCCCCAGGUUUCUCAUGGCAGAGCAGUGCCAUUUAAAGUUUACUGAAAGAAAUCGAAAAAAUCCUUUUUUUUUUUUUUUUUUUUUUAGUAUUCUAUCACAUGACAUCAUAGAAUUUUAAAUUACUGUUAAUCUUGGAGGUAUGUACUAAAAUACAAUAAAAUAAUGGCAGUACUGCUAUACUGUCAGCUAUUUUCAUUAUUAGGUAUGAAUGCCAUCUUAUAGACGUGUGUAGCUUAGAGAUUUGGCAGCAGGUGCUCUUCUGCUUCUUUUCACCACAGUCUUUGCUCCCCUUAUCAGUGAAGGAUGGGAUGACUCCAUGGACCAGGUGUUUAAAAAAGGCUGGAUGUGGCACUUGUGCCAUGGUUUAGUUGAUAAGGUGGUGUUAGGUCAUAGGUUGGAGAUGAUGAUCUUCAAGGUCUUUCCUAGCUUGGCUGAUUCUGUGAUUCUCUAAAUCUGUGACUGAAGCCAUGCUCUGACACUGGUGCCACCGUGGAGCUGUCUCUUUUCCCCGGGGCAGUGGCAGCAGCGGCAAAUGCCUUUGUUAUGGUGUGAGACAAGUCUUUGAUCCCAUGAUCACACAGCUGUUUGAACACAAACAUUCUUGUUAAAAGUCUCAAACACAACUGUGGCUGAGGCUUCUACAGAGCAAGAGAGCAGAGAGCCUUUGUGUCUUAACACACCUGAUGUCAAAAGGCUCUUUUUUUUCUUUUGGCUACCACAGAUGAAGUUAUCCCGAAUUUGGGAUGGUGGGGAAUGCUAGGGAGCACAGCAAAGCAGAUUCAGGGAAGGGAGGAUAUUUGCUGGCAUGGGAAGGGUGGGAGAUCUUACAGACAUCCAAGGUUUAGUGACUGAAAUCCCAUUUUGUGCCACUAGAGGAUACUCAAACUGCUGCCAGCUUGUAAGAAACAGCUCCUUAAUAUCUGCUUUUCUGGAAAUCAAUUGCUAGGAGAAGGAAAUGUCUUUGAGAGGAGUAAAGGGAGUAGAUGUUUAGGCACAUCUAAAAUCUUUCUUUUAGGUGGGAGUUCAGUGAAUAGAAUCACAUGCACAAAAAUUGAAGCAGUGAGUGACAGCAAACAGAGCUGAUGAGCUGACUGUAUGUCAAAGCUGCAGCUUUCUCUGCAUGAGAAAGUGGCUGGUUCCUAGGAGGUAGAACUGAUGGAGCAGCCACAUGCUGUUGUGAGAGAGGCUGGAAAAGCUGGUGUGGGAGAGAGAAGGACAUAUAGAGAGGCUUAGAGAAGGUGCUGGUGGGACAUUUUGUUCUGGUUGGAUAGCUGGGAUCUGGUGGAAGCCAGAGAUGUGGUCUUGAUUCCAGUUAACAUUGCACAGUCGGAGCAGACCACUCAACAUUCACUGCAGGACUCAUUGCUGAGCUGAAAGGCAAUGGGAGUCUUAUGUGGGGAUCCAGGUGUGGUUUAACUCCUCCAAAAAAUCAAACCAUUUCAGACAGGGCAGAGCCCAAUGCUGUGAUGAGCUUCUCAAGGAACUAACAAGAAACCACUACUUUCUGAUUCCAAAAGUCAGGCCAAGCAGGGCUUAAAGCAUUUUCUUACCCUGGCCAAGUUUGGCUGCAUCAAACACACCAGCAGUCUGCUGCUGAGUCUGACAGUGUCACCACAAAUCCUCCUAUUGGGGUGGAUGCAGGGAAAAAAUUCCUCUCUGACCACUACUAACAUUCCCUGCUCAGCAGGGUCUCAGUUGUAGAGGACCGUGAUGGGGAUGGUUAUCCUGUUACAGUGUGAUUUGCAUCUUUUGGGGAUGCAAAAAUGCAUCCCCAAAAGAUGCAUCUGGCAAUUAGAGCAACACAGACUUCUUUGCUGCUAAUCAAAGAAUCUGUACUCCUCUUAAGACCCAUGGCAGAGCUCUGUCAUGGUAAAGUCACUUUCUAGCAUUCCCAUCCAACACAUGCAGGACUAAUGUCCAGGACACAUUCUGGGCCUGUCUUUCCAGUCUGUGUCUUCCUUUUAAAGGCUACAGUACUGAGAAUGGGAUACAUACCAGGAAAAAAUGUCUCCAAACAAUUCCAUCCAGAGACUGGAAAUAACUUUUUUUCACAUGGGGUGGUCAGGAAUGUAGCAAAAGGAUCCCAGACCAAAAGGCUGUGCUCUGGGAUGGAGCUGCUGGAACCAGUCCAGAGCAGGGACACAAAGGGGAUCAGAGGGAUGGAGCAGCUCUCCUGGGAGGAAAGGCUGAGGAAAUUGGGAGUGUUCAGCCUGGAGAAGAGAAGGCUUUGGGGUGACCUCGUUGUGGCCUUCCAGUGUCUGAAGGGAACCCACAGGAAAGGUAGAGAGAGAUUCUUGACAAGGGCCUGGAGUGACAGGACAAGGGGGAAUGGUUUCACACUGUCAGAGAGCAGGUUUAGAUUGGAUGUUGGGAAGAAAUUCUUCCUUGUGAGGGUGGUGAGGCCCUGGGACAGGUUGGCCAGAUAAGCUGUGGCUACCCCAAGCCUGGCAGUGUCCAAGGCCAGGUUGGAUGGGGCUCUGAGCAACCUGGGCUAGUGGAAGGUGUCCUUGCCUAUGGCAGGGGCAUGGAACUGGAUGAUCUUUAAAAUCCCUUUCCAACCCAUGCCAUUCUAUGAUUCUGUUAUUAUAAAUUAAUGUGACUCCCUUUGCUAACGAGGUCAGACAGACACUCAGUUUUUCCCUUGGUCCUGGCGACAAGGAUCUCGUGACUCUCUGUUUCUCAGUGUUAUUGUACCUGCCCACCUGGAUAUCAUCUGUAUGCUGCUGGCAUGAGGACCUGUUUCUACUCUUCUGAGGGCUGUAUAUCAGUGUUGAAUAAUGCAGCCAGAAGUCUCUAGAGCUCAUGUCCUGCAAGUGAUUAAACUGGAUUGACUGGCUCCAUGCAUGGUGAACAAGCUGUAAAACACUGAUUUAUUGUCUCGAUUGCAAUAAAUUCUGCUGUAUAAAACCAAAGUAUCUCCAGUUUGCAUGGAGACAGUUUGUUUUAAGGUAUUUAAAGACACUUUGUUGCUGUCUUGGUUAAAUUCUGGUCAUUUCUCCUCCCUGUCAUCUUGAUCUCAAAGCAGUAUAUAACACACCUGAACAUUUUUUUUCUAGGUCAUUGGAGUGCUUUUUCAUCCACAGGAAGUUUCUCCAGAUGCACCUCUGUAAUCUUUCAAAAUUUCUUUCACAGUUCUUUCUUUUUUAUCACCUGUUUGAUCUCCUUUUGUCUUAUGAAUCCUGCCAAAUGCUUCCUUGAGUUCUUUCAAAUGCAGACACCCCUUUCAUUCUGUUGAUGAAUUGUGGCAGAGUGAAAAUUCUAUUCUGGGAGGGAUACCACAAAAACAAAACAAAACAAAACAAAACAAAACAAAACAAAACAAAACAAAGGUCAUAAUUUUAAAGCCAUUUUUUUAUAGGGCUGCUGGGGGGAAAAAGGAUUGAGAUACCCGUGGUGGGAAAGAAGAAAAGAAUGGACAGAUUUUCUACUAAUCUUCUUCUGGCUCUUGGGUUUUCAUCUGUAGAAAGCCAUACCAGGCUCAUGACUCUGCAAAACUGCAUUUUUAGAUGUUUUCCCAUUAUUUUCCAUUGUUCCCCCCAUUUAAAGUAUAUUGAGGUUUCUGGAGAAUAAGUCAGCUCAUACUUCUUAUGUCCUGGGUUGUUUUUUAAAUGGCAUCUCUAUAUUCAGAGAUAUAUUGAUUUUGAAGGUCCAUGAGAGAAUAUUUAGCAUGGGCUGAAAGGUUGAUCUUCUCCCUGGCAUCAAAAAGUGCCAGCCCACUGUGCCAGCUGGGAAUAUCAUCCUGGUGUCUGGAAGCUCUGUGGAAUGCAGCACUCCUACACUGUCAGCAUUUAGGAGUGGGCAGGGAAACAGGACUGGAACCUUGUGGGGAAAAUCUGCUUCACACUUGGUAAAGUUUCCUGUUCCUCUGGAGGGUUUGUCCCAGGAGCAAAGAGAGCUGGGGCAGGGUUGAGGCUUACGCAGCCUAUAAGGGAAGACUCUGCCAUGGCAUUCCUCAGCUAGAGAAACCCAGAGCAGCCUGGAUCUGCUGCUGAGUGUACCCACCCUGUGAGGAGGACACUGACAAUUAGGAGACUGCAUGAACCCUAGAUAACCCUAGGUAAGAAAACCUGCUUUCUUUUGCAACAGAGAGCACCUGACAAGGAGGAUCACAGGAAUAGGAUAAUCCCAAAAAGGAAGUGCUGUGACACCUUCAGGAUCCACCAUUAGGAGAUCCUGAGACUCUGAAUGACACACAUACACAAGGCUCAGCUUCUGCUGAAUCCAAUCCUUGGUAAAUAAUUGUUGUAGGUUUAGAAGGAAGUGAGUUUUUUAGGAGGUUGUGGUCAAACCAAUCAUUGCUUGGAUUUGAAUAUUGGCACCUGGUUUGGCCACUGAAGGCAUGGACCGCCUCUGAGAACACAGGGGGUUAAAAUCAGAGAACGCCCAGGAGAACUCUCUCUUGGUCCUGGUCCGUGAAGGAGGUCAGAGCUGCCCUGACCAGCCAGGGCUGGCUGGGGGAGGGAAGCCAUGAGGCCGGGUGAGGUAGGCCAGAGCCUUGGGCAGAGGAGGGGGGUGAAGGCUCUGCAAGAUGGAAGGGUGGAGGAGCCCUGAGAAGCACCAAGCCCCCCCACCCCGGGAGAGAAGAUAGAGAGAGCCAGUUCCUGUGCUGCCUUGGAAUGUGAUAUUGUGCUGGCAGCAUGGCCAGCCAGAAGUGAGGGAUGCAGCGUGGGAAGGUGCCCGGCCACUGUGGGAGUUCUGGGCAGACAGAGGCUGUUGCACAACUAAUGACCACUGAUAUGGGAUUAAAGCAGUGUUGAAUCAUCAGCAGGACCACUGGAAAGAAGGUAUGGAUGUUCCUCACAUUUCUACUGCACUAUUGACAGCAGAUGUGGGAGCUGCUGACCACAGCUGCAGGACGAACAGCACCUGCUCUGAAAUAAGGCCUGGCAUCAUCCUGAAAGAAGGUGUACACAGGAGCUUGUGGUGGAAAAGAAUCCAUGCAGGUGUUAGAAGCCAGACACUGAGGCCAAAGCAAGCUUCUGAACAAAGUGUGAGGUACAAUGUUUGUUCUCUUAAAAAAUUAGACACUCCUUAGACACUCCACUGCCAGAAAUGUAAUGAAUAUGCUCUUCCACCUGAGGAGGUGCCAUGGAUUUAUUUUUCCCUAGUAAGAAGAAUUUGUGUGCUCCUUAUUCCCAGUCAUAUAGUUAAAUUAAUGUGUAUGUCUUUUUCUGCUUCACACUAAACUCUUCUUUCUAAACUUUGCUUUGCAAAGGAGUUGUUUUUACUUCAUCUUUUCACUCUGUUAUCCUGUGUCUGUGCACACCAGCCUUUCUUUAACUCUAAUGUGUUUUAAGCAAGUCUUUGAUAAGCCAGAAUAGCAGCUGUGAAGGGAUUUGUGUUUUUCCUUCUGCAGCACGAACCAAAAGUCAGAGAAGCAGCCCAAAGGAGAACAGUUGUGCUCAGUGCAAAGACAAAAUACCUCAACAAACAAAUAGAAAAAUAAGUGGCAGCUCAAGAAUUUCAGCCAACUUUCACUACUCUCCAGAGUGGUUACAAAUCAACUGGAAAAAUACUGCCAAACAUUGUCAUCCCUGUUGGUGACAGAUAUGCUGAGCACAAGUCAUUUAUAAACCUUCCUUUGUUUGUACAACUUAGGGGCAUUUGCUGAAUUGGUUUUAAUUUCUUCUUUUUCUUUUUUUUCUUUACCUACUGGCAGUAAUUCACAAAUAGCUUUAGAUCCAGGCAGCAGUAAGAGAAGGUAAUUUAUCACUGUUUUAAACUUACACCAUGCUUGGACUGAUGGCAUUGAGGAGUGCAUGGAGAAGUAGUGGCUUUCACUAGGCCAGGUGAUAAAAUUGUAAAACACAGGCAAGCUCUCUGUCACACACAAGUCCCUUCAUCACACUGAGUGCUCAGUUUAUUUUCAUGUUCCUCCCAUGUAAUACCACUGCAAAUCUGCAGAAAUCAAUAGAGUUGCAUUAGCAUAAAAUUAGGGAGCCCCAGCAGUAAAUCAUGCCAUGAGUUGUUGUUGAUGAGCUCCAAAGCAGAGCUUUGUUUCCUGCAAAGGUCAGGGUGAUGGAUUGUGCAACAAAUUUUACCUCCUCUGCUACAUGUUUAUUGCUAAAUGGCUUUCACAAAGCAACAAAAUAGGACAUAUCUUACCCUUCCCCACAAGCUGGAGGUUUUCUCAAUUCAGUAAGAUAAAAGCAAGGCCCUUCAUCCUGCUGGGUUUGGCAAAAAGGCUGUGUCUGUUACGUUAAACUUGCGUGUGUCUGGGAGCAUCCCUGGGAGCUAGAAUGUCACUGCCUGUGCUAGGAAAGAACUGGCAUAGAACUGACCUUUCCUAACUAGUCCUAACUCCAGUCUGCAGGCAGUCAUCUCCUGUUUAGGAGCAGUCUAUCAGAUCUGGGCCCUUCUUUAGCUCCUCUGAGCACAGAGCUGCCCCAGACACUGACCAGAUGGGAAGUUUGGAUGCUCAUGUCACUCAUGACCCUUCCCUACCUCGAAGCAGAGCUAUCCGUUUCUGCCAAGAAAUCCAUCCCUGCCUGAUGGAUAGCAGCACUUCAGUUUUACACUCCUUGCUAAGUUAAAGAUGAUUUCAGCAAGCUGGCAGAUGAGGAAGCAGUGAUAGGAAUAUGCACAACCCAUUUGCUCUAAGAAUUUUAUGGUUUUGAAGACACUUAGCUGGUGGAAACUUUGAAGAGAACCAGUGUUUAUUGAAGCCAGCAGCCAGGGACACCUGUAUUUGUGAGAACGAGCAGAAAAAUGAGAUCUGACUGGCUUGAAGUCACACUGAGGACUACAGUGGCCAAGCAAAAACUAUCUGGGAUGACUGUGUGAACAUAAGCAAGGAGGAAGCUUGGAAAUUUCACAUAAUAAAUUCUCUGACCUGGAGCAAACAGCAAGCAUAAAAAGGGAGUGACAAACUAAAGGAGAGUAAAGGAUUGGGAAGAAAGUCCAGAGACACCAUGAAACUCAAAAGUUCACCCCUCCUGCCACAUAAUGUUCACUCCUUCCUCUGCAUGUGGACUUCUUGUGGAACAGUGAGCCCAAGCUCCUGGACUCCUUGAGGAGUGCCUGUAGUUGAUAAGCCAAGACCUCUGUGGUGAGGCCUGAGAAUAUAAUAUUCAUGUUUCUUUAGAGUGGGUGUUUUAUUUUUACAACCUCCUUUCCCGAUCCUUAAGAACUUUAUAAGACACAGCUUGGGAGUGUUAGUCUAUGGAAAUUGCUCCUGUAAGCCUGACCUCAAGCCUUAUGACUGUCCAAACCAAAUAUAAACCCCAUUAAUUUUAAUUUUUUUUUUUCCUCAGCCACAGGAGUACUCAGAAGCCCAGACCAGUAGGCCCUGGAACCCAGGCUGAAAAUAUAGCAAACCAUUCAGACUGCUUUCUUGAGAGGUCACAGGGAAGAUAUAAAUAUUUUAAUUUGCAUUUUAAAUAUUUGUACAGCAUAAAAGAAUAUUUACACUGAAAAAUAGAGGUCUGAAAAGCUGAAAAAUGUCAGAACUGGUGUAAUUUGUACUGCACAGAGGUUUUACAACUUUUGCAGUGUGACAGGGGCAAGUUCUGAAGGUUUUCUCUGAGGUAACAGAGCAAGUGAGCCAGCCAUGGCUGGGACAAUCACCAGGAAUGUGGGAUAGUUUGGGAUGAGAAUCUUGCUGUGCCGUCUCCAACAUGCCCAUAAGUGCCCCAACUCCAGAGGCAUUACUCCUCCCUGCAGCUGCUCCUCUUUCCAUAAAUAAUUCAAUAUUCAUUGAGGGAAGGACCUGAACCUCAGUUUCCCACAUCCUGUGUGAACGCCUGAACAACAGCACUGUCAAAUCAAUCUCUUGCAAAAUGCUCUCCUCUCUCAGCAAGUGUUUAAGUAUUUAUGCAGGUUAGAUACACUCUAGCAGGGAAAACUGUGAAACACCUGCCCUGGGCUAGAAAGAUCCCUUUGGAUGUGGCUUUGCCGGAGCAAAGGAGGGACAGGAGACUCAGGAUGAAGUUCCCUGCCUAAUCCAGGUGUUGAGAGGUAAACCUACGUGUGAUACACAAGGAAAAUAGACUCUUUCACCCUGCUUUUUAUCAAGGUUUUUUCCUCCUGGACCCAGGAUUCUGCAUCCCCAGAGUUUUCACUGAAUAAAAACAUUGUCAUGAAAGGUUUCUUUUUGCCAUGGUGAUAUUUUAUAGCAGAAAUUUUGCUGAAAAUUCCUUAACAAACAAUACAAACUGGGGCUUA